GACGAACGCUGGCGGCGUGCUUAACACAUGCAAGUCGAACGGAAAGGCCCUGCUUUUGUGGGGUGCUCGAGUGGCGAACGGGUGAGUAACACGUGAGUAACCCGCCCUUGACUUUGGGAUAACUUCAGGAAACUGGGGCUAAUACCGGAUAGGAGCUCCUGCUGCAUGGUGGGGGUUGGAAAGUUUCGGCGGUUGGGGAUGGACUCGCGGCUUAUCAGCUUGUUGGUGGGGUAGUGGCUUACCAAGGCUUUGACGGGUAGCCGGCCUGAGAGGGUGACCGGCCACAUUGGGACUGAGAUACGGCCCAGACUCCUACGGGAGGCAGCAGUGGGGAAUAUUGCACAAUGGGCGGAAGCCUGAUGCAGCAACGCCGCGUGCGGGAUGACGGCCUUCGGGUUGUAAACCGCUUUCGCCUGUGACGAAGCGUGAGUGACGGUAAUGGGUAAAGAAGCACCGGCUAACUACGUGCCAGCAGCCGCGGUGAUACGUAGGGUGCGAGCGUUGUCCGGAUUUAUUGGGCGUAAAGGGCUCGUAGGUGGUUGAUCGCGUCGGAAGUGUAAUCUUGGGGCUUAACCCUGAGCGUGCUUUCGAUACGGGUUGACUUGAGGAAGGUAGGGGAGAAUGGAAUUCCUGGUGGAGCGGUGGAAUGCGCAGAUAUCAGGAGGAACACCAGUGGCGAAGGCGGUUCUCUGGGCCUUUCCUGACGCUGAGGAGCGAAAGCGUGGGGAGCGAACAGGCUUAGAUACCCUGGUAGUCCACGCUGUAAACGGUGGGUACUAGGUGUGGGGUCCAUUCCACGGGUUCCGUGCCGUAGCUAACGCUUUAAGUACCCCGCCUGGGGAGUACGGCCGCAAGGCUAAAACUCAAAGGAAUUGACGGGGCCCCGCACAAGCGGCGGAGCAUGCGGAUUAAUUCGAUGCAACGCGUAGAACCUUACCUGGGUUUGACAUGGAUCGGGAGUGCUCAGAGAUGGGUGUGCCUCUUUUGGGGUCGGUUCACAGGUGGUGCAUGGCUGUCGUCAGCUCGUGUCGUGAGAUGUUGGGUUAAGUCCCGCAACGAGCGCAACCCUUGUUCACUGUUGCCAGCACGUUAUGGUGGGGACUCAGUGGAGACCGCCGGGGUCAACUCGGAGGAAGGUGGGGAUGAUGUCAAGUCAUCAUGCCCCUUAUGUCCAGGGCUUCACGCAUGCUACAAUGGCUGGUACAGAGAGUGGCGAGCCUGUGAGGGUGAGCGAAUCCCGGAAAGCCGGUCUCAGUUCGGAUUGGGGUCUGCAACUCGACCUCAUGAAGUCGGAGUCGCUAGUAAUCGCAGAUCAGCAACGCUGCGGUGAAUACGUUCCCGGGGCU
rnacentral:rRNA from 1 species